rfam:Hordeum vulgare subsp. vulgare, WGS project CAJW01000000 data, contig: morex_contig_1489638
AGGAGCCGUGCGAGAUGAAAGUCUCAUGCACGGUUUUGCAUGAGAGAAAGAACCGAGGAAUCCUCUUUUCGACUCUGAC